GCUUGUCACAGCAUGAGCACUCUAUCCAGACAGAUGUCACAGCAGGAGUAAAUAGAACCAAAGAAUUUCUGUUUCAUUGUAUGUUUUUGAUGAAAACACUGUCUGUGCAAAACCUUGUCUCUUUGGAAGUGGAUACAGACAGAGAGGGUCAAAAAGAGAUAGAUUUUCAGAAGACUUGUGGCUUCAGGUCAGCAAUGGACAUCCGGAGACAGAAAUGCUUUGAGAGUCUGUUAAGUCUCCAGGUGAACAUCAUUGAUCACAAUCAGGAAAAUAGGGAACCUGCACUGGCACUGACACUCCGGGAGAGAUCAGACCUGAGGAACAGAGAGGGAGAAAGAGUGUUACUGUGAAACAUACCUCCGGUCUGCUUCUACUCAUACAGAAGCACUGGCAGAGAGACUUACCCGUAUUGGAGUUAGCCGUGGGAGGUGGAGCCAAGUGAGGGGAGGAGUAAGGAGAAGAUGAUUCAAAGUUCCGAGGGGGCGGAGGAGGGGCAGAGGGGGACGGAGGAAGCAUGCAGGAGUAAGAGGGAGCAGACUGGGGGGGUAAAGACUGAUAAGAGACAGGUGAGGUGAAUUACAAAAAGAGAGAUGACAACAGGCAGAGCAGGGACCAGGAGGGG